ACGGGUGAGUAAUAUAUCGGAACGUGCCCUAGAGUGGGGGAUAACUAGUCGAAAGACUAGCUAAUACCGCAUACGAUCUAAGGAUGAAAGUGGGGGAUCGCAAGACCUCAUGCUCCUGGAGCGGCCGAUAUCUGAUUAGCUAGUUGGUGGGGUAAAAGCCUACCAAGGCGACGAUCAGUAGCUGGUCUGAGAGGACGACCAGCCACACUGGGACUGAGACACGGCCCAGACUCCUACGGGAGGCAGCAGUGGGGAAUUUUGGACAAUGGGGGCAACCCUGAUCCAGCAAUGCCGCGUGAGUGAAGAAGGCCUUCGGGUUGUAAAGCUCUUUUGUCAGGGAAGAAACGGUUCCAGCUAAUAUCUGGAGCUAAUGACGGUACCUGAAGAAUAAGCACCGGCUAACUACGUGCCAGCAGCCGCGGUAAUACGUAGGGUGCGAGCGUUAAUCGGAAUUACUGGGCGUAAAGCGUGCGCAGGCGGUUGUGUAAGACAGAUGUGAAAUCCCCGGGCUCAACCUGGGAAUUGCAUUUGUGACUGCACGGCUAGAGUGUGUCAGAGGGGGGUAGAAUUCCACGUGUAGC
rnacentral:rRNA from 1 species